rnacentral:rRNA from 1 species
GAUGAACGCUGGCGGCGUGCCUAAUACAUGCAAGUCGAGCGAACAGACGAGGAGCUUGCUCCUCUGACGUUAGCGGCGGACGGGUGAUUAACACGUGGGUAACCUACCUAUAAGACUGGGAUAACUUCGGGAAACCUGAGCUCAUACCGGAUAAUAUAUUGAACCGCAUGGUUCAAUAGUGAAAGACGGUUUUGCUGUCACUUAUAGAUGGAUCCGCGCCGCAUUAGCUAGUUGGUAAGGUAACGGCUUACCAAGGCAACGAUGCGUAGCCGACCUGAGAGGGUGAUCGGCCACACUGGAACUAAGACACGGUCCAGACUCCUACGGGAGGCAGCAGUAGGGAAUCUUCCGCAAUGGGCGAAAGCCUGACGGAGCAACGCCGCGUGAAUGAUGAAGGUCUUCGGAUCGUAAACCUCUGUUAUUAGGGAAGAAAAAAUGUGUAAGAAUCUAUGCACGUCUUGACGGUACCGAAUCAGAAAGCAACGGCUAACUACGUG